rnacentral:rRNA from 1 species
UCCGGUUCAUCCCGCGGGACUGACUGCUAUCGGAUGAUACUAAGCCAUGCGAGUCUUUGUAGCAAUACAAGGCAGACGGCUCAGUAACGCGUAGUCAACCUACCCUAUGGACGGGAAUAACCUCGGGAAACUGAGUAUAAUGCCCGAUAGAACAUUAUGCCUGGAAGGGUUUAUGUUCCAAAUGAUUUAUCGCCGUAGGAUGGGACUGCGGCCUAUCAGCUUGUUGGUGAGGUAAUGGCCCACCAAGGCGAUUACAGGUACGGGCUCUGAGAGGAGAAGCCCGGAGAUGGGUACUGAGACACGGACCCAGGCCCUAUGGGGCGCAGCAGGCGAGAAAACUUUGCAAUGUGCGAAAGCACGACAAGGUUAAUCCGAGUGAUUUCUGCUAAAGAAAUCUUUUGCCAGUCAUAAAACCACUGGUGAAUAAGGGGUGGGCAAGUUCUGGUGUCAGCCGCCGCGGUAAAACCAGCACCUCAAGUGGUCAGGAUGAUUAUUGGGCCUAAAGCAUCCGUAGCCGGCUUUGUAAGUUUUCGGUUAAAUCCAUGUGCUCAACGCAUGGGCUGCCGAAAAUACUGCAUAGCUAGGGAGUGGGAGAGGUAGACGGUACUCAGUAGGUAGGGGUAAAAUCCUUUGAUCUAUUGAUGACCACCUGUGGCGAAGGCGGUCUACCAGAACACGUUCGACGGUGAGGGAUGAAAGCUGGGGGAGCAAACCGGAUUAGAUACCCGGGUAGUCCCAGCUGUAAACGAUGCAGACUAGAUGAUGCAUUGGCAUAAUAGCCAUUGCAGUGUCUCAGGGAAGCCGUUAAGUCUGCCGCCUGGGAAGUACGUACGCAAGUAUGAAACUUAAAGGAUUGGCGGGGAGCACACAAGGGGUGAAGCCUGCGGU